GUGCUGGGACUUUAGAGACAGCGUAUGGCGGAGUCUGGCCACAGUAAGGGGCGGUGGGAGCCAGCCCUUUAAGGAAGCUGAACAGCUAGGAAGCGUUAAAGCCUUGAGGAAAUGAAGGACCACUUAGCCCAACAGCCCUGGCCUUCAUAGAGAGGAAUCAUAAAGAGGUCAAACUCUGUAGUCCUGGCUGGCCUCAAACUCAAGAGAUCUGCUUGCUUGGACAUUCCUGACCACUGGGAUUAAAGACAUCCAACCAGAAAGCCCUCUUUUCACUGUGUGCAUGCGUCUACCAGCACCGUGCUACAUAUUUCUCCUUAGUCCUUUUAAACAUGUCUGGGGGUUGGGGCAAAAGAGCCAGGCCUGGUGGCACAGGCCUUCCUCUGAGUUCAGGGCCAGCCUGGGCUACAGAUCAGGUUUGAAGACAGAUAGGGCUACAAAGAGAAACCCUGUCUCAAAAAAACAAAACAAGCUGGGUGGUGGUGGAACAUACCUUUAAUCACAGUACUCAAGAGACAGAGGCAGGCAGAUCUCUUGAGUUCAAGGCCAGUCUGGUCUAUAGAGAGUUCCAGGACAGCCAGGGAUACUCAGAGAAACCCUGUCUUAAAGGCAGAAAGGAGAAAAAUAAACCCAAAAAACCUUCCACAUCUUGCCCUCCGCCCCCAACUCACUGUCCUGUGAAGUUGUUCCAUGAAACACCCUCCCGCAGCCCUUCUGACUAAAUGAACAGAACAACUCAGUAAUGUCUGUAGAGAUGGCAACAACCUAGCCUAAAGACUGAUUAGCCAUCCGACCUCCUAACCUGAGAAGCAAAGGGGCCUUGGAGUAUUGGGACAGGGUGGG